AUACGGAGGAUGCAAGCGUUAUCCGGAUUUAUUGGGUUUAAAGGGUGCGUAGGCGGGACUGUAAGUCAGGGGAGAAAUACUGCAGCUUAACUGUAGCAUUGCCUUUGAAACUGCCGUUCUUGAGUACAGUUGAGGUAGGAGGAAUGUGGGGUGUAGCGGUGAAAUGCAUAGAUAUACCACAGAACGCCGAUUGCGAAGGCAGCUUACUAAGCUGUUACUGACGCUGAGGCACGAAAGCGUGGGGAUCAAACAGGAUUAGAUACCCUGGUAGUCCACGCUGUAAACGAUGAUUACUGGUUGUUAGCGAUAUACAGCUAGUGACUGAGCGAAAGCAUUAAGUAAUCCACCUGGGGAGUACGUCGGCAACGAUGAAACUCAAAUGAAUUGACGGGG
rnacentral:rRNA from 1 species